rnacentral:rRNA from 1 species
GGGGAAUAUUGGGCAAUGGAGGAAACUCUGACCCAGCAACGCCGCGUGAAUGCAUGAAGGUCUUCGGAUUGUAAAAGUUCUUUUCUAAGGGAAGAAGAAAGUGACGGUACCUUAGGAAUAAGCCUCGGCUAACUAC